ACUGAGCGGCGGACGGGUGAGUAACGCGUGGGUAACCUGCCUCAUACAGGGGGAUAAACAGUUAGAAAUGACUGCUAAUACCGCAUAAGACCACAGGGCCGCAUGGCCCGGUGGUAAAAACUCCGGUGGUAUGAGAUGGACCCGCGUCUGAUUAGCUGGUUGGUGGGGUAACGGCCUACCAAGGCAACGAUCAGUAGCCGACCUGAGAGGGUGACCGGCCACAUUGGGACUGAGACACGGCCCAAACUCCUACGGGAGGCAGCAG
rnacentral:rRNA from 1 species